rnacentral:rRNA from 1 species
GCUCAGAUUGAACGCUGGCGGCAUGCCUUACACAUGCAAGUCGAACGGUAACAGGUCUUCGGAUGCUGACGAGUGGCGAACGGGUGAGUAAUACAUCGGAACGUGCCCGAGAGUGGGGGAUAACGAAGCGAAAGCUUUGCUAAUACCGCAUACGAUCUCAGGAUGAAAGCAGGGGACCGCAAGGCCUUGCGCUCACGGAGCGGCCGAUGGCAGAUUAGGUAGUUGGUGGGAUAAAAGCUUACCAAGCCGACGAUCUGUAGCUGGUCUGAGAGGACGACCAGCCACACUGGGACUGAGACACGGCCCAGACUCCUACGGGAGGCAGCAGUGGGGAAUUUUGGACAAUGGGCGCAAGCCUGAUCCAGCCAUGCCGCGUGCAGGAUGAAGGCCUUCGGGUUGUAAACUGCUUUUGUACGGAACGAAAAGACUCUGGUUAAUACCUGGGGUCCAUGACGGUACCGUAAGAAUAAGCACCGGCUAACUACGUGCCAGCAGCCGCGGUAAUACGUAGGGUGCGAGCGUUAAUCGGAAUUACUGGGCGUAAAGCGUGCGCAGGCGGUUAUAUAAGACAGAUGUGAAAUCCCCGGGCUCAACCUGGGAACUGCAUUUGUGACUGUAUAGCUAGAGUACGGCAGAGGGGGAUGGAAUUCCGCGUGUAGCAGUGAAAUGCGUAGAUAUGCGGAGGAACACCGAUGGCGAAGGCAAUCCCCUGGGCCUGUACUGACGCUCA